AUGGAGAUGAAGAAGGAGGCGACUGUUACAGAAACAAGUGAUGUUCUCACUCUGUGUAACACGUGGAUCAUCUCUGUUGAUCUCAUGUCUGACCUGAACUCCUGGAACAUGUUGCUUCACCUCCUGCUCUUCUCUCUCUGCAUCGCCAUGGGCUCCAUGAACACCGUCACACAGGAGCAGAGGGAACACGCCGCUUCAGAGGGAAAACCCACCAGUUUGAGCUGCGACUAUACUGGUUCCAUCUAUAAUGUCCAGUGGUAUCGACAGCGGCAGAGAUCCAGACCAGAGUUCCUGCUCUCCAUCACAGAGUCGGGAUCGAUCCAUCCAACUCGCUCCAAUUUCUCCGCUCACAUCGAUAAAACUCAGAAACAAGCAAAUCUGCUGAUCUCCUCUGCUGCAGUGACAGACUCUGCUGUGUACUACUGCGCCGUGUCGCCCACAGUCGUGACCUACAGCUUCCACUGGGGCAGUAAACAGCCGAGUGGGAAGCGCCCAGGAUGA